rnacentral:lncRNA from 1 species
GCCACCAGGAUGAAACAAGUAAGAGAGCUGACCAAAUGCUCUUGAACACCACUGUCCAGUCAGUUUCAAAAGUGAAGCAUUCUCCUUGGCAUAACACAUUGUUUAACAAGUGGUUCAACCUCUUGUCAGCUUCAGCCUGCCGGGUUGUUUCUCAGUUCCUGUAAUCAUGGUCCUCCUUUAUUGGGCACGUUAGAAGAAAAGUCAAAACCACAUCUGCAGGCCUAGAGCCUGGAAACCAGAGCCUCUGUGAAUCUGUGGCCAGAAGCAGGACUUUGUGGACAUCUGUUAGUGGCUGUUUCCAGCACAGACAGGGCCUGGUACCAAGAGUAACUGCUGAAGUCUCCAGUGCUACAGCAACUGAAGAGCAAAAUUGGGUGCCUGGAGGAAAAGUAGUCUGGUUCAACUGAGCUCUGUCUGAAAAGCAGGUUACCGUGGCUUAAUGAAUUAUCCUGAGUUUGCAGAACAACGUGUUCCCUUACCUGAAAGGGCCCUGGUUUGCAUGCUGAUACAUUGCAUGACUGACGGACUGAUCAUCUUGUUGGUUUGACUUCCCAGAGCUGGAGGAAUCAAGACCAUCCGUGGCUGAUAAGCCAGGAACCGCCGACUUGGCUAAGCCACAGAAUCCCAAUGGAUUCCAAUGGAGUCAACAAAUGGAGCUGUCGCUGUAACCUGACACGUAAAGGGGGCGAGAUGCACGACAUGGAGCAGCACCCAGAUCGAUCUAUCUCAUCAUUCACAUGCAGGAAAUCAAUCAGAGAGUGGUGCAAUUCACAUGAAAAUAAGACAUAAUGCAGCAGAGGCCCUGGGUCCCAGGGUGAGACAUGAUACUAAGAUGCAAGGCCCAGCAGAAGACAACUCAAGCUUGGU